rnacentral:rRNA from 1 species
AGCUCCAAUAGCGUAUAUUAAUGCUGUUGCGGUUAAAAAGCUCGUAGUUGUAUCUCGGCGGGCAGGGGGCGGUCCGUUCUUCGACGCGACUGCCCCAUUUGCCCGUGUUUGUUGUGUGGCGGAGGUGUCUGGGUGCUCUUCACCGAGUGUCCAGGUGCGCCGCCAGGUUUACUUUGAAAAAAUUAGAGUGCUCCAAGCAGGCCUUACACGCUUGAAUAUUCGUGCAUGGAAUAAUGGAAUAGGACGUCGUUUCUAUUUUGUUGGUUUUCGGAAAUCGACGUAAUGAUUAAUAGGGACAGUCGGGGGCAUUAGUAUUCAGACGACAGAGGUGAAAUUCUUGGACCGUCUGAAGACUCACUACUGCGAAAGCAUUUGCCAAGAAUGUUUUCAUUAAUCAAGA